rnacentral:rRNA from 1 species
AGUGAACGCUGGCGGUAGGCCUAACACAUGCAAGUCGAACGGCAGCACAGUAAUAGCUUGCUCUUACGGGUGUCGAGUGGUGGACGGGUGAGGAAUACAUCGGAAUCUACUUUUUCGUGGGGGAUAACGUAGGGAAACUUACGCUAAUACCGCAUACGACCUACGGGUGAAAGCAGGGGAUCUUCGGACCUUGCGCGAUUGAAUGAGCCGAUGUCGGAUGAGCUAGUUGGCGGGGUAAAGGGCCACCAAGGCGACGAUCCGUAGCUGGUCUGAGAGGAUGAUCAGCCACACUGGAACUGAGACACGGUCCAGACUCCUACGGGAGGCAGCAGUGGGGAAUAUUGGACAAUGGGCGCAAGCCUGAUCCAGCCAUACCGCGUGGGUGAAGAAGGCCUUCGGGUUGUAAAGCCCUUUUGUUGGGAAAGAAAAGCAGCAGGUUAAUACCCCGCUGUUCUGACGGUACCCAAAGAAUAAGCACCGGCUAACUUCGUG